AAAGGAUAUUGUCAUGUCUUUAAAAUCUAAUAUUUCUUCAAAAUUAUAAUCCUUAUGUUAUUAUUCAAAUUUAUUCAAGUUAAAUAUAGUUGUACGAAUUUUAUACAUUCUUAUGAAGAUUCUAAGAAAUAUAAAAAUUUUACUUUUUAAAUCUAUCUGAUAUUUUUCAUCCCUGAUAGUUCUUUAUCCCUGAUAAAUUGUUUUCAUCGGCGCCUAGUACGAAUUUUAAAUUCUUUUUCUUUCCUUUUCAUUAUUAUUAAUGCUCGUACAAGGAGAUGAUUCUUAGAAAUUUUACAAGUUUCAAUGCACAUUUUCAAAAUUGCUUUCGUAACGUUUAAUUUAGCUAUGCUUUACGCGACAGAGGAUGCAAAAGAACAAGCGCAUAAACUGUUGGAUAAAAUAUUUAACAUUGCUGAUCAAUUUCAAGCAAUUUACCAACUUAAGAAAAUAAAUUAUUCAUUGUUAUCAAGCGGUCGAUUGAUAUAUAAUGGCAAAGCAGAACAGCGUAAUAUGUAUCGAUCGAUCGUUAUUCAGAUGUAACUUGUCUUGGGAAUGAUGCUUAUGCAUUGAUUCAGGUAGAAUUGCCGUCGCAAUUUCAACGAUGUCGAAAGAACUAAAAAUAUAUCGAAAGUAUGCUAGUUUCGUAAAACGUUUUCUCCUCCUUAGUGGGAUGUGUCCGAUUACGAAGGAGCGGGAUGCAUUUUAUCGGUGCAUAUCAAUUUGGUCGAUAUUUUCCUCUAUCAUUUCACUCUGUGCCGUAGGAAAUUUUUGCUCACAGAAUGUUCAGAAUAUCGCUUUGCUUACCGCUUCGUUUUCCCUCUUCUGUGCCAUAUUGAAUACAACUAUGAAGGCUUGCUGCUUUUUCAUCUAUCAAAAUAAACUGCAACAAGCAAAUGAUAUACUCAGUUCUAUGUUGGAACAAGCACUAAGCGAAACAGAUAUAAGAUCAAUAGCUUUUUCCUGGGUUCGAACGUUUUAUCGAUUGAUUUAUCUACAGUUUACGUUAAUGACAAUCAACAGCACUAUAUACGCAUUUAAACCGUUGAUUACGAGAAUACUUUACGACGCGAACAAUACAACAAAUCUACAAUAUCCUUUACCCUUUCCUGCAAGUUAUCCUUGGACGAUCGAUUCAAUGUUAGUCUGGAAAUUGCAUUAUCUCUUUGAUUUGAAUAUUGUUUGGAAUGUAAUCUCUGUAUCUACCGGUGUAGAUGGAUUUUUCAGCUUUUGCUUAUUUCGUAUAUCGGUAAUGUUACGUUUGUUGGGUUUUGAGUUCGAGAUGAGAUUUUCAACUGACGAGAAGAAUAAGGCGAAUAAAGAGUAUGAGGAGAAUCGUAAACGGAUCUUUCAAGAAUGCGUCAACAAGCACGCUCUGUUACUGAAAUGUCGAGACAUUGUUCAAGAAGCUUACGGACCCGUCAUACUAUUAACGACAAUAACGAGCGCAAUGAGUCUAUGUACUUUAAUAUUUCAGGUUUUGCAGGUCAGAGGACAAAUCAUCGGUAAAAUCAUAAUAUGUAUUGUUUUCAUUUUUAUGAAAUUAUUACAAACGUUCCUGUACGCCUGGCCUGCAGACGUAAUUCUUAUUGAGACUUGCAAUCAGCCUCCCUUAAUCUUCGUUUCUUUCGUAGAGCGAUCGUUUUCGUCACAAGGUUUAUUUUAGCGAUUGGUACAAACACAAGGAUACUAGUUUCGCAAAAGGCUUUACGCUGAUAUUAGCACAGAGAUCAAUCGUUCUGAAAGCGUGUGACUUGAUGCAAGUUUCAUUGGAUCUUUUUGUUAAGGUUUUGAAUACCGCAGUAUCCUACUAUUUCUUGUUAGAAACCAUUGAUAAGGAUAAAUAAUAUAAAUGAAACUGGUACUGAUAUAGUAUUACGAUAGUAAGAGUACCUAAUAAUGAUGAUUACGAUGAUAAUAAUAGGGGAAAAAGACAUCAAAAAGAAAAAGCAUAAUAGCUUUGUAAAAUACAGUUUUCGAUGAUCUUCAAGCAUAAUAGCUUUGUAAAAUGCAGUUUUCGAUGAUCCUCAAGCUGCAAAAUGAUUUGUACAAAUUGUGUAUUUGCCUAAUCAUAGGUAGAGCAACAGCAUGGUACCAAGUCAACGCUGUUUUUUCUCUUCUUUCUUGGUAGAUGGUAAAUAAAAGCAAGAUAAUACGUAUUACAAAUAUAUUUCAAGUUUGUAGUCUAUUCUUUGAAAGUUUACAAUCAAACCUAAUCCAUUUUUUAUAUUCUAAAUGGGUUAAGAUAAUAAGUAAAAAUAUUUUCUUCCGUC